UCAGUUUUUAUCAGUUCCAAACAACUAAUAAUAAUUAACCAGGCCAGACGUUGCUAUAAAAAGAAUCAUCCUGGUGUAACAUAGACAUUGCCAAAAUGGCCAAGCAAUCUUUGAUUAUAUUUUGUAUACUCUUUCUUGUUAUAAACGCCAGCGAUCCUGAACCACGUGAUCUAGUAGAGGAAGCUUACCAACAACUAUUUGAACUACAGAACAUCGCUUAUGGUGAAAUCUUUGUAGGGCGAGACAGACUACAACACCUCCAACGAGAAUUUGGUGACGAUGCUCAAAAAGUAGCUCAAAAAGCAAACCUAGACAUAGAGCAAGAGCACGAAACCAUUAAUAUCCAGUUAACCACGAUCAAAGAUUUGGCACUUUCGGCCGGGAAAGACAUUUCUUCCUGUACUAACAAUCGUGAGGAUCUUCUUAACAGUCUACCUGCUAACUAUAAUGAACAAAUAAGUUCAUGUAUGGCCGGAGUUGCUCAACUUGCAGCUACAGCUGUAACUGAUUCGCGUUAUUUUAUUGAUAUUCUUAUAAAUAAAGUACAUCAAUUUGGAUACCAACUUGAUCUAUGUUACGAAAAUUUUGAGUGCAUUUCGCCUCUUCUGACACAGAUUUUACUAGAAAGAGUAAGAAUUCCACAAGUCGUGAGAGAAGAGGUGCAGAAUUGCGAGACUAUUAUAAGUGAAUUGGAGUUGUCUGUACAGAAUUGUGCAGAUGAAAGUGUUGCUGAGUAUACGGUUGAGGCCAGUGGUAUUCUUGCAGAGAUAACGGAUUGUGUCGACGAAAUUAUUGGUUAAAAUUGCUGACAAAAAAUAAUUUGUGUUGUAGUUACUUAGAUAACUAAAUUUGCAAUUGUAUAGCUUAACCUUUGGCGUUAUCUAAAACCAUACAUAAUGUAACAGGAAAUUACCUGAUAAUUAAUAAACCUAUACUGAAUUACUUCAAUAACUUCCAGUAAGCUUAUUAUUAUCAAAAGAUUUACGAUGAGCUACUUAACAUAGAUAUGGCCUUGCACUUAGUUCCAGUUAAUUCCAAACAUAUAUAAGUAAUCCAAAUCUUAAAACUAGCAAUUGAAUUGUGCGACCAUGGCCUCAAAAGCUACUUUUUUGUUGUUCGUCUUCCUAGCUUUUGCAAGUGCUAAAAUCUGGACGCCUCGCGAUUUGGCCGACCAAGUAAGAGAAGAACUAGAAGCUCUAGAGGCCCUCGUUCAUGGUGAAAUCCUUGCUGCUCACAACGAUCUUAGCGACGCACUCAGCAACUUUCUAACAAAUUCUGGAAAUGUUGCUAAUGAAGCAACCAUCUCAAUACAACAAGAAAAACAAACUAUUGAUACUACAUUGCAAUCAAUCAAGGAUUUGGCACAUGUAGUAAAUGUAGAUAUUUCACCGUGUACGAACAUUCGUGAACAAUCUUUGAACAGACUACCUGAACGUUUGACUCGGGAAAUGAAUUCAUGUAUCACUGAUGUCAAUACACGAGCGUCUUCAACUGCCAGCGAUGGAAGAUACCUUGUGGAUGUCAUUAUCAACAAAGUACACAAUUUGGAAUUCCAACUUCGUCAAUGCGGAGACGAUUUGUUGUGCAUUGCUCCUUUGCUUACGGAAAUAGAGCUUGAUAAGGUUCGAUUGACAAAUUGUGUUAAAACGGAAGUUCAAGCUGUCGAAGGUCUUUUGACAACGUUGAGGCUUUCUGUACAAACUUGCUCGGACUCGAAAGUGGCUCAAUAUAUAACAGAAGCAUUUGGAAUUCUGGGGGAUAUUCAGGCCUGUGCAGAUAGGCUUAUUGGUUAAAAUAAAUUAUUGUAUUGUUAACACACUGUAUAGGUAUUUAUUUUUUGCCCUAAAAAUAAAGUUACGGGCAAUUAUAACCUACAUUUAUGUUGA